GACGAACGCUGGCGGCGUGCUUAACACAUGCAAGUCGAACGGAAAGGCCCUGCUUUUGUGGGGUGCUCAAGUGGCGAACGGGUGAGUAACACGUGAGUAACCUGCCCUUGACUUUGGGAUAACUUCAGGAAACUGGGGCUAAUACCGGAUAGGAGCUCCUGCUGCAUGGUGGGGGUUGGAAAGUUUCGGCGGUUGGGGAUGGACUCGCGGCUUAUCAGCUUGUUGGUGGGGUAGUGGCUUACCAAGGCUUUGACGGGUAGCCGGCCUGAGAGGGUGACCGGCCACAUUGGGACUGAGAUACGGCCCAGACUCCUACGGGAGGCAGCAGUGGGGAAUAUUGCACAAUGGGCGGAAGCCUGAUGCAGCAACGCCGCGUGCGGGAUAACGGCCUUCGGGUUGUAAACCGCUUUCGCCUGUGACGAAGCGUGAGUGACGGUAAUGGGUAAAGAAGCACCGGCUAACUACGUG
rnacentral:rRNA from 1 species